rnacentral:lncRNA from 1 species
UGCUGUUUGGUGUAUUAUUGCGUCGUAAUUUCGGAGUUCAAAUUCAAUUUAACUUCCAAAAAUUGUCUGGACGCAUAGAUUGUUGCUCGACUUCUUAUAGAGUGAUUCAUACAUAAAUCCACUCUAAGUUAGCUUGGAGUUAAAUUCAGUUGCUCUCGGUUUCAGUUGGCAUUCAGUCCUGUCGCUUACUCUUGGGCCUUCUUACAAUGAGCUCUUUUCUUUUUGCAUGCUCGCAUUCACUUGUCUGCAUUUCCAUUACCCUUGAGUAUCUAAACCAUUUUCUAAAUAAAACGUGAAGAAAAAGAUUACCUGGAUGGAAUGUCCAGUCGUAAUCCCGAAUAUUAGGCUCAAGCUGUAAGAGCUUGCCAGUCAUAAAUAUUCGUCUUCACUUCCACCCUCUAAUAUUCAAAUCGUUUUCUAAAUAAAACGUGAAGAAAAAGAUUACCUGGAGGGAAUAUCCAGUCGUAAUCCCGAAUAUUAGGCUCAAAUUGUAAGAGCUUGUAAGCCGUAAAUAUUCGUCUUCU